rnacentral:rRNA from 1 species
AAAAUAAAAUUUGAUUUUAAAAAAAUUUAAUUUUUAAACUAGGAUUAGAUACCCUAUUAUUUUAAGCUUAAUGUUGGUAGUAAGUAAAAUUUAUGAAAUCAUAAAAUUUUGGCGGUAUUUUAAGCUUGUUAGAGGAAUUUGCUCUAUAAUGGAUACAACGCCUACAUCUUACUUAAUUUUGUAAUUAAAGUCAGUUUGUAUACCACUAUAUUUAAUUAUAUUGAAUAAUUAUAUUUAAGAUUUUUAUAUAAAUAUAUAUUAAGUCAAGGUGCAACAAAUAAUUA